rnacentral:rRNA from 1 species
AUUGAACGCUGGCGGCAUGCUUUACACAUGCAAGUCGAACGGUAACAGGCCUUCGGGUGCUGACGAGUGGCGAACGGGUGAGUAAUGCAUCGGAACGUACCCAGAGGUGGGGGAUAACGCAGCGCAAGCUGUGCUAAUACCGCAUGUGAUCUGAGGAUGAAAGCGGGGGACCGAGCAGCAAUGUUUGGCCUCGCGCCUUUGGAGCGGCCGAUGUCGGAUUCGCUAGUUGGUGGGGUAAAGGCCUACCAAGGCGACGAUCCGUAGCUGGUCUGAGAGGACAACCAGCGACACUGGGACUGAGACACGGCCCAGACUCCUACGGGAGGCAGCAAUGGGGAAUUUUGGACGAUGGGCGCAAGCCUGAUCCAGCAAUGCCGCGUGCGGGAAGAAGGCCUUCGGGUUGUAAACCGCUUUUGGCAGGAACGAAACGGUGUCCGCUAAUACCGGGCGCUAAUGACGGUACCUGCAGAAUAAGCACCGGCUAACUACGUG